rnacentral:misc_RNA from 1 species
GAUGAAGAACGCAGCGAAAUGCGAUAAGUAGUGUGAAUUGCAGAAUUCAGUGAAUCAUCGAAUCUUUGAACGCACAUUGCGCCCUCUGGUAUUCCGGAGGGCAUGCCUGUUCGAGCGUCAUUAUAACCACUCAAGCUCUCGCUUGGUAUUGGGGUUCGCGGUUCCGCGGCCCCUAAAAUCAGUGGCGGUGCCUGUCGGCUCUACGCGUAGUAAUACUCCUCGCGAUUGAGUCCGGUAGGUCUACUUGCCAGCAACCCCCAAUUUUUACAGGUUGACCUCGGAUCAGGUAGGGAUACCCGCUGAACUUAAGCAUAUCAAUAAGCGGAGGA